rnacentral:rRNA from 1 species
UACAGAGGUCUCAAGCGUUGUUCGGAUUCAUUGGGCGUAAAGGGUGCGUAGGUGGCGCCGUAAGUCAGGUGUGAAAUUUCGGAGCUUAACUCCGAAACUGCAUUCGAUACUGCCGCGCUUGAGGACUGGAGAGGAGACUGGAAUUCAUGGUGUAGCAGUGAAAUGCGUAGAGAUCAUGAGGAAGACCAGUGGCGAAGGCGGGUCUCUGGACAGUUCCUGACACUGAGACACGAAGGCCAGGGGAGCAAACGGG